AGAAUCAACGCUGGCGGCGUGCCUAACACAUGCAAGUCGAACGCGGUUACCCCGCAAGGGGUAACUGAGUGGCAAACGGGUGAGUAACACGUGGGUGACCUGCCUCUGAGUGGGGGAUAACGUUUCGAAAGGAACGCUAAUACCGCAUGACAUCCUGCCUUUGGACAGGCGGAGAUCAAAGCUGGGGAUCGCAAGACCUGGCGCUUGGAGAGGGGCCCGCGUCCGAUUAGCUAGUUGGUGAGGUAACGGCUCACCAAGGCGACGAUCGGUA
rnacentral:rRNA from 1 species